AUUUGCAGAUGUGGAAGGUCAAGCAGCUGAGGAUAUGGAGUCAAGGGAAAGAGAGCAGUCCACGCAGUGAGAAUACCACAUGCGGACACCACCGAGGCAUCGGAAAGGCUGUUACAGGAACCGAUGGGGGCCGCCACGGUGUCUGCAAAGAUGGGUGGAAGCCACAGCUGCUUGAGUGAACUGGCAGGUGGAUCCCGUUGUAGUUUGAUCUGGAUGUGACUGAAGCUGGACCAACGCCUUGACCACAGCCUACGGCAAUGCUGAGCCAAGAGGGACCCAACCAAGCCACAUCAGAUUCCCGACCGCAGCGUGAGGCUUUCCUCUUAUGAAGCUCAGGGAGAUAUCUAAGGGUCCAGCGGGGAACUGUCCCAGUACAUCCUGCUUCCAGCCUGCAGGAUGGCA